UCUUCUUGCGCAGCUUAGGUGGAAGGCUGAGAAAGGCAAUUCCGGUUGUCUGGAGCCAUCAGUGAGAUACCACUCUGGGAGAGCUAGGAGUCUAAUGGCGUUCCUUGAAUCAGGACGCUUGACAGUUUCAGGUGGGCAGUUUUACUGGGGCGGUAGCCUCCUAAAAGGUAACGGAGGCGUGCAAAGGUUCCCUCAGGCUGGACGGAAAUCAGCCAUAGAGUGUAAAGGCAGAAGGGAGCUUGACUGCAAGACCUACAAGUCGAGCAGGGACGAAAGUCGGCCUUAGUGAUCCGACGGUGCCGUGUGGAAGGGCCGUCGCUCAACGGAUAAAAGUUACUCUAGGGAUAACA
rnacentral:rRNA from 1 species